UACGAAGGGGGCUAGCGUUGCUCGGAAUGACUGGGCGUAAAGGGCGCGUAGGCGGUUCGUACAGUCAGACGUGAAAUUCCCCGGGCUCGAACCUGGGGGCUGCGUUUGAUACGUGCGGGCUUGAGUUCGGAAGAGGGUCGUGGAAUUCCCAGUGUAGAGGUGAAAUUCGUAGAUAUUGGGAAGAACACCGGUGGCGAAGGCGGCGACCUGGUCCGAUACUGACGCUGAGGCGCGAAAGCGUGGGGAGCAAACAGG
rnacentral:rRNA from 1 species